CUCAUCUUUAAUUCACGUAUCCUCCUACACACUAAAGAAUGGUAUAGAUAUUUCCCGCACUGUGAGACCGUGGACAUUUGGCUUAGCUGCGUGAACAAUACUCCAAACAACGAACCUUCGAACUGAGACACUGAACCUGUAACUCUCAGCCGCCUUAGUCCUGCUCGCCUCGCCACUGCCGCGUGGUUACGUCAAGACAGCGGGUCGCGUAUUAGUUUCCUUAGUACUUGUGCUUCCGUGUCAAUACCGUGUGCUGUAAACUGCUGAACGAACUGAGAUACUCAUUCAGUUUUGGUCGCCUCUCCAUUAUCUCGUGGUGACGUAAAGGUGACGGCCCGUGUGUUAGUUUCCCCGGUAAUUGUGCCUCCGUGACAUUACUGUGUGCAGUGGUCGUGAGAACUGCGAGGCGGCGGUGUAGACUGUGCCGUGGAGAGCCGCGGGGUGUUGGAAUCGCCUCUCAGUCACCUUGAAGGCGUCAUAUUCCCUCCCUGCUCUUCCCCGUGUCUUCCUGUCGAUGUUGACAGGACCUGCGGGAGGGUGAAGAGCGCAAGGAGAUGAUUGACCCCAGCACGCGGAUGUGCCUGAAGCCUGACCCGAGCGGGGCGCGUCUCACUCUUGACCCAGCGCAAGGCUCCGACCCCGCCACCUACAAGUGCCGGGUGGACUUUGAAAUGUCGUCCACCCGCUCCACCCUCGUCACCCUCACUGUGUACGUCGUGCCGUCGUGCCUGGUGCUCCUGGACACUGGAUGGAGUCCUGUCCACGGCGGGGUGCUGAGGUCACUGAUCGAGGGUGACCCGCUGACCCUGCAGUGCACCGCAUCGGGGGGUGGUGCAUCACAGCGUCAGACUCACAGAGGAUGUGUAGCCGAGGCAAUGACACGUGGACGGCGCUGAUGGCGGCCAGAACCUCUUGGGCGUCUUGGUCACACACGGCCAGGCUGAGCACCCCCAGGUCCCGCCACUCCUGCAGCAGCUGUGUGCCGGCACCACUUAAGUGACCCAUGAACCUCUCAAGAAACAGUUGGCCAAAAUAAUAAUGGCAGAAGUAAGACUAAGCUUUGAAGAAAGAACAUGUCAUAAAGUGUUACUGGAGGCACGAAAAUGUCAAAAGUGCAAAGACAAUUCACAAGACACUUUGACAGGGAUCCACCAAGGUGACGCGCCAUUGCUCGCAUCACAGCUAAUACCGAACGGCCUCGAAACACUGAGCCAAAGGGAUGCCGCUCAGCCUGCAGCCAGUGUGGCGGCGUAUCUUGUGUGGUGCGCGUGUGUAUCGCAUUGUGUUCCUCCUCAUAGACUUAGUGGUGGUCAAGAUAACCAGGAUUGGCCAAGCCCCUCCCUGAAGUGUGCUACCAGUAGUGUACCAGGUGUGUUGAGUAGCCGCCAGGUGUACAGCCACACGUGUGUUGUGUACAAGUGCAUGUUGUGUACAGAAAGAUCUCCCCCCUGUUUUAUAAGACCCAUAAUGCCGCUGGCCGGGAAACUACACUUGCCACCAUCUCAGACAGGACGCCAUCUUGUUGUGUAAGUCAGAGACGCCUCCUAU